AGACCUUCGGGUCUAGUGGCGCACGGGUGCGUAACGCGUGGGAAUCUGCCCUUAGGUUCGGAAUAACUCAGGGAAACUUGAGCUAAUACCGGAUGAUGUCUUCGGACCAAAGAUUUAUCGCCUAGGGAUGAGCCCGCGUCGGAUUAGCUAGUUGGUGAGGUAAAGGCUCACCAAGGCGACGAUCCGUAGCUGGUCUGAGAGGAUGAUCAGCCACACUGGGACUGAGACACGGCCCAGACUCCUACGGGAGGCAGCAGUGGGGAAUAUUGGACAAUGGGCGAAAGCCUGAUCCAGCAAUGCCGCGUGAGUGAUGAAGGCCUUAGGGUUGUAAGGCUCUUUUACCCGGGAUGAUAAUGACAGUACCGGGAGAAUAAGCCCCGGCUAACUCCGUGCCAGCAGCCGCGGUAAUACGGAGGGGGCUAGCGUUG
rnacentral:rRNA from 1 species